rnacentral:lncRNA from 1 species
AGGACUGGGACAAUUAGGAGGCAAAGGGAUUGGGGGUUUUUACGAGGUCGUCCCUGACGAGGAAAGCGGAGAAACCUAUUGGGGGGAGUUAUGGCUGCUGGGGCAGUAGAGUUGGGCAGAUCGGUUGAGAGACUCACAAUUGUAGAAAGGAACUGGUUUGUGGAGAGGGGAUCAUGAGCGAGCUGAAGAGGGUCAGGCCUAGUAGCGGC